UGGCGGAUGCUAACACAUGCAGUCAGGAACGCGUGGAGCAUCCACGAGUGGCGGACGGGUUGAAGUAACGCGUGGGAACUGCCCUGGAGUGUGGGAUACGAGGGAAACUUCGGCUAAUACCGAUACGACCUGAGGUGAAAGAUUUAUCGCUCUAGAGGGGCCCGCGUCGGAUUAGCUAUUGGUGGGGUAACGGCCUACCAAGGCGGUGAUCCGUAGCUGGUCUGAGAGGAUGAUCAGCACACUGGGACUGAGACACGGCCAGACUCCUACGGGAGGCAGCAGUGGGGAAUAUUGGGACCAAUGGGGGCAAACCCUGAUCCAGCAAUGCCGCGUGGGUAGAUGAAGGCCUUCGGGUUGUAAAGCCCUUUCGCGCGCGACGAUGAUAGACGGUAGCGCGAGAAGAAGCCCCGGCUAACUUCGUGCCAGCAGCCGCGGUAAUACGAAGGGGGCGAGCGUUGUUCGGAAUAUACUGGGCGUAAAGGGCGCGCAGGCGGCGAGACAAGUCAGGCGUGAAAGCCCCGGGCUUAACCUGGGAAUUGCGCUUGGGACUGUCUGGCUUGAGUUCGGGAGAGGAGAGUGGAAUUCCCAGUGUAGAGGUGAAAUUCGUAGAUAUUGGGAAGAACACCGGUGGCGAAGGCGGUCUCUGGACCGAUACUGACGCUGAGGCGCGAAAAGCCGUGGGGAGGCAAACAGGGAUUAAGAUACCCUGGUAGCCCCACGCUGUAAACG
rnacentral:rRNA from 1 species